rnacentral:rRNA from 1 species
UACGUAGGGUGCGAGCGUUGUCCGGAAUUACUGGGCGUAAAGAGCUCGUAGGUGGUUUGUCGCGUUGUUCGUGAAAACUCACAGCUCAACUGUGGGCGUGCGGGCGAUACGGGCAGACUUGAGUACUGCAGGGGGAGACUGGAAUUCCUGGUGUAGCGGUGGAAUGCGCAGAUAUCAGGAGGAACACCGGUGGCGAAGGCGGGUCUCUGGGCAGUAACUGACGCUGAGGAGCGAAAGCGUGGGGAGCGAACAGG